rnacentral:rRNA from 1 species
GUCUACAGCCAUGUCACCCUGAACAUACCCGAUCUCGUCUGAUCUUAGAAACUAAGCAGGGUCGAGCCUGGUUAGUACUUAAAUGGGAGACCACCUAGGAAUACCAGGUGCUGUAGCCA